rnacentral:misc_RNA from 1 species
GAAAUGCGAUAAGUAAUGUGAAUUGCAGAAUUCAGUGAAUCAUCGAAUCUUUGAACGCCCCUUGCGCUCCUUGGUAUUCCUUGGAGCAUGCCUGUUUGAGUAUCAUGAAAUCUUCAAAGUAAAUCUUUUGUUAACUCAAUUGGUUUCUACUUUGGUAUUGGAGGUCUUUGCAGCUUCACACCUGCUCCUCUUUGUUCAUUAGCUGGAUCUCAGUGUUAUGCUUGGUUCCACUCGGCGUGAUAAGUUAUCUAUCGCUGAGGACACUGUAAAAGGUGGCCAAGGUAAAUGCAGAUGAACCGCUUCUAAUAGUCCAUUGACUUGGACAAUACUUUUAUGAUCUGAUCUCAAAUCAGGUAGAACUACCCGCUGAACUUAAGC